UACGUAGGGUGCGAGCGUUAAUCGGAAUUACUGGGCGUAAAGCGUGCGCAGGCGGCCUGGCAAGUCGAUGGUGAAAGCCCGAGGCUCAACUUCGGGUCGGCCACUGAUACUGCUGGGCUUGAGUCGACUAGAGGCAGAUGGAAUUCCGGGUGUAGCGGUGGAAUGCGUAGAGAUCCGGAAGAACACCGGUGGCGAAGGCGGUCUGCUGGGGUCGAACUGACGCUGAGGCGCGACAGCGUGGGGAGCGAACAGG
rnacentral:rRNA from 1 species